rnacentral:rRNA from 1 species
ACGGAGGCAGCAGUGGGGAAUAUUGCACAAUGGGAGAAAUCCUGAUGCAGCGACGCCGCGUGAGUGAAGAAGUAUUUCGGUAUGUAAAGCUCUAUCAGCAGGGAAGAAAAUGACGGUACCUGACUAAGAAGCCCCGGCUAACUACGUGCCAGCAGCCGCGGUAAUACGUAGGGGGCAAGCGUUAUCCGGAUUUACUGGGUGUAAAGGGAGCGUAGACGGCGAUGCAAGUCUGAUGUGAAAUGCGGGGGCUCAACUCCUGAACUGCAUUGGAAACUGUAUUGCUGGAGUGCCGGAGAGGUAAGCGGAAUUCCUAGUGUAGCGGUGAAAUGCGUAGAUAUUAGGAGGAACACCAGUGGCGAAGGCGGCUUACUGGACGGUAACUGACGUUGAGGCUCGAAAGCGUGGGGAGCAAACAGGAUUAGAUACCCUGGUA